rnacentral:tRNA from 1 species
CCGGGUAGCUCAGUUGGUAGAGCAGGGGACUGAAAAUCCCCGUGUCGGCGGUUCAAGUCCGUCCCCGG